CACCAUAGAAGACCAAAGCUUUAUUUUGUUUUCCUUCCACCAAAGCCAAGCCAAAUCUCACCCAAUCAACUUCUUGCUUUAAUUAAAAUUCAUCCUAAGACCAAGAGCUAAAGGAACAACCAUAUAUUGAAGGGAUUGAAGAAGAAAAGUUUAGGGUUCCAUAUGCACCAAGUUUGAAAAUUAAAGGUAAGCUUAGAAA
rnacentral:lncRNA from 1 species